rnacentral:rRNA from 1 species
GACGAACGCUGGCGGCGUGCCUAAUACAUGCAAGUCGAGCGAAUCAAUAGGAGCUUGCUCCUGUUGGUUAGCGGCGGACGGGUGAGUAACACGUGGGCAACCUGCCUGUAAGACUGGGAUAACACCGGGAAACCGGUGCUAAUACCGGAUAAUCCUUUUCCUCUCAUGAGAAAAAGCUGAAAGUCGGUUUCGGCUGACACUUACAGAUGGGCCCGCGGCGCAUUAGCUAGUUGGUGAGGUAACGGCUCACCAAGGCGACGAUGCGUAGCCGACCUGAGAGGGUGAUCGGCCACACUGGGACUGAGACACGGCCCAGACUCCUACGGGAGGCAGCAGUAGGGAAUCUUCCACAAUGGACGAAAGUCUGAUGGAGCAACGCCGCGUGAGCGAUGAAGGCCUUCGGGUCGUAAAGCUCUGUUGUUAGGGAAGAACAAGUACCGGAGUAACUGCCGGUACCUUGACGGUACCUAACCAGAAAGCCACGGCUAACUACGUGCCAGCCGCCGCCGUAACAC